rnacentral:sRNA from 1 species
GCCAGGUGUGGUGGCUCAUGCCUGUAAUCUUAGUGACCCAGGAGGCUGAGGCAGGAGGUUUGCAAGUUUAAGGCCAACCUCAACAACUUAGCCAGGCCUAAGCAAUUUAGCAAGACCUUGUCUCAA